rnacentral:rRNA from 1 species
UACGUAGGGUGCAAGCGUUAAUCGGAAUUACUGGGCGUAAAGCGUGCGCAGGCGGUUCCGCAAGUCAGAUGUGAAAUCCCCGGGCUCAACCUGGGAACUGCAUCUGUGACUGCAUAGCUAGAGUACGGUAGAGGGGGAUGGAAUUCCGCGUGUAGCAGUGAAAUGCGUAGAUAUGCGGAGGAACACCGAUGGCGAAGGCAAUCCCCUGGACCUGUACUGACGCUCAUGCACGAAAGCGUGGGGAGCAAACAGG